CCAUGGGAAACCGGCUGUGCUGUGGGGGAAGCUGGGAGCCAAACAAGACCCACAUUGAACAUCCUGAAGCAGCAACAGUUAUGGCAGAAUGGCACGAAGGACUAUGAAACAACGGCCCCGAUGUACGAGCGAGUGCUACACCCGUCUGUGCCGCAAAAGAAAAGUUCAGACUGCACAUCGGAGGAGAAUGACUUGCACUAUGCAGACAUUCAUGUGCUCAGCCAAAU
rnacentral:lncRNA from 1 species